GGCCAGACUCCUACGGGAGGCAGCAGUGGGGAAUAUUGGACAAUGGGGGGAACCCUGAUCCAGCGACGCCGCGUGAGUGAAGAAGUAUUUCGGUAUGUAAAGCUCUAUCAGCAGGGAAGAAAGAAAUGACGGUACCUGACUAAGAAGCCCCGGCUAACUACGUGCCAGCAGCCGCGGUAAUACGUAGGGGGCAAGCGUUAUCCGGAUUUACUGGGUGUAAAGGGAGCGUAGACGGCAGUGCAAGUCUGAAGUGAAAGGCGGGGGCCCAACCCCCGAACUGCUUUGGAAACUGUGCUGCUGGAGUGCAGGAGAGGCAAGUGGAAUUCCUAGUGUAGCGGUGAAAUGCGUAGAUAUUAGGAGGAACACCAGUGGCGAAGGCGGCCUGCUGGACUGCAACUGACGUUGAGGCCCGAAAGCGUGGGGAGCAAACAGGAUUAGAUACCCCGGUA
rnacentral:rRNA from 1 species